CCGACGGUGAGAGGCGAAAGCUGGGGGAGCAAACCGGAUUAGAUACCCGGGUAGUCCCAGCUGUAAACGAUGCGCGUUAGGUGUAUCAGUGACCACGAGUCACUGAGGUGCCGAAGAGAAAUCGUGAAACGUGCCGCCUGGGAAGUACGGUCGCAAGGCUGAAACUUAAAGGAAUUGGCGGGGGAGCACCACAACAGGUGGAGCCUGCGGUUUAAUCGGACUCAACGCCGGAAAUCUCACCAGAUAAGACAGCUGAAUGAUAGUCGGGCUGAAGGCUCUACUUGACUAGCUGAGAGGAGGUGCAUGGCCGUCGUCAGUUCGUACUGUGAAGCAUCCUGUUAAGUCAGGCAACGAGCGAGACCCACGCCAACAGUUGCU
rnacentral:rRNA from 1 species